rnacentral:rRNA from 1 species
UAAGCGGAGGAAAAGAAACUAACAAGGAUUCCCCUAGUAACUGCGAGUGAAGCGGGAAAAGCUCAAAUUUAAAAUCUGGCGGUCUCUGGCCGUCCGAGUUGUAAUUUAGAGAAGCGUCUUCCGCGCCGGACCGUGCACAAGUCUCCUGGAAUGGAGCGUCAUAGAGGGUGAGAAUCCCGUCUUUGGCACGGAUGCCUGUGCUUCUGCGAUGCGCUCUCGAAGAGUCGAGUUGUUUGGGAAUGCAGCUCAAAAUGGGUGGUGAACUCCAUCUAAAGCUAAAUAUUGGCGAGAGACCGAUAGCGAACAAGUACCGUGAGGGAAAGAUGAAAAGCACUUUGGAAAGAGAGUGAAACAGUACGUGAAAUUGUUGAAAGGGAAACGCUUGAAGUCAGUCGCGUCGACCGAGACUCAGCCUUGCCUUGGCUUGGUGUACUUCUCGGCCCGACGGGUCAGCAUCAAUUUUGCCCCUCGGAUAAUGGCAAGGGAAAGGUGGCACCUUUUCGGGUGUGUUAUAGUCUCCUGUCGCAUGCGAGGGGUGGGAUUGAGGAACUCAGCGCGCACCUUGGUGUCGGGGCUUCGGCCCACGUCACGCGCUUAGGAUGCUGGCGUAAUGGCUUUAAACGACC